rnacentral:rRNA from 1 species
UACCAGGGGCGUCCGGUGGUGGAGGAGGAAGAGCGCGAGCGAAGGGAGCCCCCGCGUCGCCGUCGGCCGCGGCUGCUCCCCAAGACGAGCCGCCUUGGCAGGUUGCUAACGAGGGUCAGCGGCGGCGAGAUGAGCUUCCAGUGGUCAGGGUGAGAGCGUGGCCACGUAAACGUUCUAAAUGGACCGAAGUGUGCAUCACACAUGUUUUUCCUAGUACGAAAUUAUUGUGGUCUUUCGGUACAUAAGUCAGGAAACGGACUAACCUGGUUGUGCAAUCCUCGUAUAAACUAAUCGGGUCGAGAACCGCGUGUGAAGUGAUACAUGAACCGUUUGUACGUUCUACCUAGUUUUAGUCGGAAUGGUGGAUUUCUACAACUUUCCGAAUAGAAACAUCAAGUUCCGUCGUAACGUAACAGACACCUCUCGCCUUGUUGGGUGAGGGACAACCAUCUGAGAAUACGAAUAGAAGGACGUUUGUACUUCGUGAGACACUAUAGUCUAUUUGGUUGGUGAGAACAUUAGAAACUCUCCUCCAUGUGUUGGUAACCCCUAAUGGUACGACUAGAUCAACAACCAAGUUGUCUAUUCGUUGGGGAGGAACUUUGGGGUCCUCUCCAUAAACUCGACUCCUUCGACGAUGGGUGAAGAGAUGGAAUACUGAAAUUAUAAGUAUAUUACCUGAAAGUCAGUCCGCUCAUAGAGUUACACUUCCUCCAAGUAAUGUUAGUUGUACCCGACGACGAAAAUCUCCCUGUUCCUUAUAUAGCUAACCCUUUAUCGACCAUAGGCCACGUUCGUCCGCUAUGGUAAACCUACCGCGGUAAACACGGAGUUACCAUACGACGGGAACCAUUUUGGUUCAGAUCCAUGGACGACAUGUUUCUACAGUUAUCCUUAGGUGACUAUACUCGUUUCCGUGAGUGAGAACUACCUCCCGUUAGCAAGUGGUAUCCGUAUCUCUCGAUACGGUCGAAUACUUCUCAAGAAGAUCUUCUGCCGGAGGUUUUCUGUAACGAGGUUAACGAACGACCGCUUGACGUGUCUAAGGUCUCUUAGCUACAUUAUUUUUAUUAUUAUCGUUUACUCAUGAACCUUUUAACACUACAAGUACCGACGGGUAACCACGAACCUCCUACUAUACUUGAGGCUAUGAAAAGAGGAAAAAGCUCUAACUUGGCACCUUGAAGGUACAUAAGCACAGACCUGUCUUUAACGGCAUCGGC